rnacentral:misc_RNA from 1 species
UGAGACUACUGCUCGAUCCUGGACCCAGAAAUAUGCAAUGGGUUAGGGCUCCACACUUGCCUGAUGAGCGUAAUAUGCUUUGUCCUAUUAGUAAAUAAUGGAAACUUCUGGAGCAACGUUGUCUUUGUAUUCGAAUAUGAUAUUGGAGCUCUUUUCAUAGUGAGACAUCAUAUUGAAUAGUGGAAUAUUUAUGUGAAGUUUCAUGAAAAAAAGGUCUUUUCUUUUUCAUUGAUUUUUGGAAUGAAAAUUUUGCAUUGUAAAUAUUAAAUAACAAAAUGCAUAGGACACACUAGUACUAAUUGCACAUUAAAGGGAAAACAUGCCAGACUUUGUGGAUGCAGGCUGUCUUUCUGAGCAGGAUGUGGCAUGCUUAGGUGAUAACGAACUGAUGGUAAAUGCUGGUUUGUGUUCUGAUUCGAGUUUCGAAAUUAUAGGA